rnacentral:rRNA from 1 species
GACGAACGCUGGCGGCGUGCCUAACACAUGCAAGUCGAGCGAUGAAAUUAGAAACGGAGUCUUCGGACGAAGUGGAAAAUGGAUUAGCGGCGGACGGGUGAGUAACACGUGAGCAACCUGCCUAUCACAUCGGGAUAGCCUCGGGAAACUGGGAUUAAUACCGAAUGAAACAUAAUCACUGCCUAGUGGAAAUGUCAAAGAUUUAUCGGUGAUAGAUGGGUUCGCGUCUGAUUAGCUAGUUGGUGAGGUAAUGGCUCACCAAGGCGACGAUCAGUAGCCGGCCUGAGAGGGUGAACGGCCACAUUGGGACUGAGACACGGCCCAAACUCCUACAGGAGGCAGCAGUGGGGAAUAUUGCACAAUGGAGGGAACUCUGAUGCAGCGACGCCGCGUGAGCGAUGAAGGCUUUCGAGUCGUAAAGCUCUGUCGAAUGGGAAGAUAAUGACGGUACCAUUUGAGAAAGCCCCGGCUAACUACGUGCCAGCCGCCGCCGUAAGAC